rnacentral:rRNA from 1 species
GGGGAAUAUUGCACAAUGGGCGCAAGCCUGAUGCAGCCAUGCCGCGUGUAUGAAGAAGGCCUUCGGGUUGUAAAGUACUUUCAGCGGGGAGGAAGGUGUUGUGGUUAAUAACCGCAGCAAUUGACGUUACCCGCAGAAGAAGCACCGGCUAACUCCGUGCCAGCAGCCGCGGUAAUACGGAGGGUGCAAGCGUUAAUCGGAAUUACUGGGCGUAAAGCGCACGCAGGCGGUCUGUCAAGUCGGAUGUGAAAUCCCCGGGCUCAACCUGGGAACUGCA